rnacentral:rRNA from 1 species
GAUGAACGCUGGCGGCGUGCCUAACACAUGCAAGUCGAGCGAACAGACAAUGAGUUUGCUCCUUUGACGUUAGCGACGGACGGGUGAGUAACACGUGGAUAACCCACCUAUAAGACUGGGACAACUUCGAGAAACCGGAGCUAAUACCGGAUAACAUAUUGAACCGCAUGGUUCAAGAGUGAUUGGGGCCUUUGCUGUCACUUAUAGAUGUUAUCGGGCCGUAUGAGCUAGUUGGUAAGGUAACGGCUUACCAGGGCAACGAUACGUAGCCGACCUGAGAGGGUGAUCGGCGACACGGGAACUGAGCCACGGUCCAGAGUCCUACGGGAGGCAGCAGUAGGGAAUGGUGGGCAAUGGGCGGAAGCCUGACGGAGCGACGCCGCGUGAGUGAUGAAGGUCUUCGGAUCGUAAAACUGUGUUAUGGGGGAAGAACAAAUGUGUAAGUAACUGUGCCCAUCUUGACGGUACCUGAUCAGAAAGCAACGGCUAACUACGUG